rnacentral:rRNA from 1 species
GUUGUAUGGUUAAGUGACUAAGCGUACACGGUGGAUGCCUUGGCAGUCAGAGGCGAUGAAGGACGUAUUAACUUGCGAUAAGCCCAGAGAAGGUAGUAAAAACCGGUGACUCUGGGAUUUCCGAAUGGGGAAACCCACUUACAUAAGUAAGUAUCGUGUUGUGAAUACAUAGCAGCACGAGGCGAACCGGGGGAACUGAAACAUCUAAGUACCCCGAGGAAGAGAAAUCAACCGAGAUUCCGGUAGUAGCGGCGAGCGAAACCGGAUUAGCCCUUAAGCUAGUUUGAUGUUAGGUGAAGGUUCUGGAAAGUUCCGCGAUACAGGGUGAUAGCCCCGUAACCGACAACAUCUUAUCAGUGAAAACGAGUAGGACGGGACACGUGUUAUCUUGUCUGAAUAUGGGGGGACCAUCCUCCAAGGCUAAAUACUCCUGACUGACCGAUAGUGAACCAGUACCGUGAGGGAAAGGCGAAAAGAACCCCUGUGAGGGGAGUGAAAUAGAACCUGAAACCGUGUACGUACAAGCAGUAGGAGCCCACUUGUUGGGUGACUGCGUACCUUUUGUAUAAUGGGUCAGCGACUUAAUUUUAGUAGCAAGGUUAACCGUUUAGGGGAGCCGUAGGGAAACCGAGUCUUAACUGGGCGUCAUAGUUGCUAGGAUUAGACCCGAAACCGAGUGAUCUAGCCAUGGGCAGGUUGAAGGUGAGGUAACACUUACUGGAGGACCGAACCGACUAAUGUUGAAAAAUUAGCGGAUGACUUGUGGCUAGGGGUGAAAGGCCAAUCAAACUCGGAGAUAGCUGGUUCUCCCCGAAAGCUAUUUAGGUAGCGCCUCGGACGAAUACUACUGGGGGUAGAGCACUGUUAAGGCUAGGGGGUCAUCCCGACUUACCAACCCUUU